rnacentral:tRNA from 1 species
AGAGCUGUGGCAAAGUGGUUAGCGCAUCUGCCUUUAACCCAGAAGCAAUGGGUUCAAGGCCCGUUGCUGCUA